UACGAAGGGGGCUAGCGUUGCUCGGAAUUACUGGGCGUAAAGCGCACGUAGGCGGCUUCUUAAGUCGGUGGUGAAAUCCUGGAGCUCAACUCCAGAACUGCCUUCGAUACUGGGAAGCUCGAGUCCGGGAGAGGUGAGUGGAACUGCGAGUGUAGAGGUGAAAUUCGUAGAUAUUCGCAAGAACACCAGUGGCGAAGGCGGCUCACUGGCCCGGUACUGACGCUGAGGUGCGAAAGCGUGGGGAGCAAUCAGG
rnacentral:rRNA from 1 species